GCGGUCUUUCAGUGUUCAAAAGGGUAAGAAUAAUAACAUUAAAUGACUUCUCUAGUUUUAAGUCCAUCAAAGAAAAAGGAUUCAGAGAUCGGCAGAGCACA